rnacentral:rRNA from 1 species
UACGGAGGGUGCAAGCGUUAUCCGGAUUCACUGGGUUUAAAGGGUGCGUAGGAGGGCAGGUAAGUCAGUGGUGAAAUCUCCAAGCUUAACUUGGAACUGCCGUUGAUACUAUCUGUCUUGAAUACCGUGGAGGUGAGCGGAAUAUGUCAUGUAGCGGUGAAAUGCUUAGAUAUGAACAUAGUAACACCAAUUGCGAAAGGCAGCUACGCUACACGAAUAUUGACUCUGAGGCACGAAAGCGUGGGGAUCAAACAGGA